ACGAAGAGAAUGAUGAUAGGGGUUUAUAAGGGAAGACAAAAGGUAUAAGAAAGUCAAAUAUCAAAGAGGCUUGAUCAUUAGACAACUGAGAGGCCUUACAAUCGAUGUUGAUGCGAGGGGUAGGUAUUGCCAUGGAACAGAUGCACUAGAGCUAUAAAUACAUGAAAACUCUUUAUAUGAAACUAAGUGGGUGUGUAUCCAACUUACUUUCUUAUGAAGACCUCAAGCAUUUAAGGAAGCUUGGCAUCGGAGUGUGCAAGUCAAGUUCUAUAAUGUAAAAUUCCCACAAGUAUAUGAGAAUGAAGAUAAUGAGGACUCUCUGUAUGAAAUGCAAGCUGCUACUUUGAAGCACAAGCGUGGUACGAGAAUAGUGAUGCGCACCCUCUCUCUUUUUUUUCAUUUUUUUCUUUCUUUUUCAUUUUUUGUGGGCUAUUUUUUACCCCUCUUUUUUGUUUCCUUUUUUAGCCUCACGGGUAGGAGUUCACCCUAACAAUGCAUCACACUUUAUCUUAGUUACAACUCAAAAGAUAUGAACAAUAUUAUGACUAAAAAUGAAUGCCUCUGGCAUUGUACUAGGAUGUGCAGUGAUCUAGAGUAACAUGUAUUAUAAUGAUGAAGGGUGGCUUUGCCAGAAAUUUCAUGGCAGCUCUAUAUGAUCAUGUAAAGGAAUAAGACAAUGAAUGAUCAAUAGUAACA
rnacentral:lncRNA from 1 species